GUUCUUGUAGUUGAAUCACAACGGUGGUUUUUCAAGUCAUUGGUCCUGGUUGAAGUCCGGGCAGGAAUU
rnacentral:tRNA from 1 species